UAGGGCUGAGCAUGUGCAGAAAAAUCUUAAAGCUUAUGAAUGGAGAAAUCCAGUAUAUCAGAGAAUCAGAAAGAUGUUAUUUCCUGAUCAUUCUUGACCUGCCAAUUACUGGCAGAGGUUCAAAGAGUGUUGGCUAGGCUAACAGGAGUAAGAGAUGAACCUGUAAUAUCUCGUAAAAUUGGAAUAAGUGCAAGCUGUUGAAAUUCUGGUAAUGCCUCUGAUCCUUUAAUGGAACUUGACACAGGGUUACACAAGAGAGCAAGUAUGGGGGCCUAAUCGGCAUCAUGCUAAUAGUUUUGAACGAGCUGUUUCAUACAUUCUGUGACUUCUGUUCCUUGACCUACCAAUGACCGACAGAGGUUCAAAGAGUGUUGGCUAGGCUAACAGGAGUAAGAGAUGAACCUGUAAUAUCUCGUAAAAUUGGAACAAGUGCAAGCUGUUGAAAUUCUGGUAAUGCCUCUUAUCCUUUAAUGGAACUUGACACAGGGUUACGCAAGAGAGCAAGUAUGGGGAACUAAUCGGCAUCAUGCUAAUAGUUUUGAACGAGCCGUUUCAUGCAUUUUGUGACUUCUGUUUGCUGGCGUCUUUUACAACUCCUACCUAGUAUUGACAUAAAAAUGCUGGUUUGAAGCUUAAGCAAUGGACUAAGUUGCACGAGAGCUGUUGCACCUUUGCGCAUGCUAUUUCGCCAAGGUUAAUACUUGACAUAGUAAAUGGCUAAUUGCCAAAUAUUAGAAUAUAGUUAGCAUUAUUAAAGAAAUUUCCAUAAUUAAUUGAUCCCAAAGAUGUUCUGGUUAGCAUCUAUUCUGAAGAAUUUUAACAAGUAUAUUGCUGUAUAAUAUGAAUUAAAAGGUCCCUGCGAAAUAAAUAUCAUAGUUUCCAGUUGUCAGGCAGAAUUAGUGUUCUCCACUUUGUAUAUAGGAUUUCUGCACUUUUAUGUAACAUGAAUAUGCUGACAAUCUUAUAUGAGUAAAAUCCUCUUGCCAGGAAUGGGCAUCCUUUUAGUUAAAUAGCCAAUGAUUUCCCCUACAAUCAAGAGUGGGUUUGUUCAGCUUCC
rnacentral:lncRNA from 1 species